rnacentral:rRNA from 1 species
AGUGGCGCACGGGUGAGUAACACGUGAGCAACCUGCCGGGAAGCCCGGGAUAGCCCUCCGAAAGGAGGAUUAAUACCGGAUGUGGCCACCCUGCGAUUGCAGGGGAAGCUAAAGGAUUUAUUCACUUCCCGAGGGGCUCGCGGCCCAUCAGCUUGUUGGUGAGGGUAACGGCCCACCAAGGCGACAACGGGUAGCUGGUCUGAGAGGAUGGUCAGCCACACUGGAACUGAGACACGGUCCAGACACCUACGGGUGGCAGCAGGCCAAAAUCCUUCCGCAUGGGGGGAAACCUUGACAAUGCAACGCCGCGUGGAGGAUGAAGGCCUUAGGGUUGUAAACUCCUGUCAAGAGGGAAUAAGCAAGUGAAGGUACCUCUAGAGGAAGGGGCGGCUAAUUCCGUGCCAGCAGCCGCGGUAACACGGAAGCCCCGAGCGUUGUUCGGAUUCAUUGGGCGUAAAGGGUGCGUAGGCGGCGCGGAAAGUCCGGCGUGAAAGGCAGGGGCUCAACCUCUGGACUGCGUUGGAUACUUCCGUGCUUGAGGACUGGAGGGGAGACUGGAAUUCACGGUGUAGUAGUGAAAUGCGUAGAUAUCGUGAGGAAGACCGGUGGCGAAGGCGAGUCUCUGGACAGAUCCUGACGCUGAGGCACGAAGGCUGGGGGAGCGAACAGGAUUAGAUACCCUGGUAGUCCCAGCAGUAAACGAUGUGAGCUUGAUGUGGGGGGAUUCGACCCCUUCCGUGUCGAAGCUAACGCGAUAAGCUCACCGCCUGAGGAGUACGGCCGCAAGGCUAAAACUCAAAGAAAUUGACGGGGACCCGCACAAGCGGUGGAGUAUGUGGCUUAAUUCGAUGCAACGCGAAGAACCUUACCUGGCCUUGACAUGCAUUGUGUCGUCGGUGAAAGCCGGCUAGUCCUGGAAACAGGACGCUUUGCACAGGUGCUGCAUGGCUGUCGUCAGCUCGUGUCGUGAGAUGUUGGGUUAAGUCCCGCAACGAGCGCAACCCUUGUGGUCAGUUACUAACCGGCUUAGCCAGAGGACUCUGGCCAGACUGCCCUGUCAAACGGGGAGGAAGGUGGGGACGACGUCAAGUCAGUAUGGCCCUUAUGGCCAGGGCUGCACACGUACUACAAUGCCCGGUACAAUGUGAACCGAAACC